rnacentral:rRNA from 1 species
GUGGGGAAUAUUGGACAAUGGGCGAAAGCCUGAUCCAGCCAUGCCGCGUGAGUGAUGAAGGCCUUAGGGUUGUAAAGCUCUUUUGUCCGGGAAGAUAAUGACUGUACCGGAAGAAUAAGCCCCGGCUAACUUCGUGCCAGCAGCCGCGGUAAUACGAAGGGGGCUAGCGUUGCUCGGAAUCACUGGGCGUAAAGGGCUCGUAGGCGGACUUUUAAGUCGGAGGUGAAAGCCCAGGGCUCAACCCUGGAAUUGCCUUCGAUACUGGGAGUCUUGAGUUCGGAAGAGGUUGGUGGAACUGCGAGUGUAGAGGUGAAAUUCGUAGAUAUUCGCAAGAACACCGGUGGCGAAGGCGGCCAACUGGUCCGAAACUGACGCUGAGGCGCGAAAGCGUGGGGAGCAAACAGGAUUAGAAACCCCAGUAGUCC